AAAGUACAUAAAUAGCAGAGAAGAUCAAAUAUUCAUAUCCAUCGGAUCCCAAAUGGAAGAUUUUUGGAAGCGAGCGAAAUCUUUCGCGGAAGAAGCGGCGAAGAAAUCGCAAACACUAAGGGCGCCGAACAAAAUCGCCGAUCUGGUCGCCGAAACCGCUAAGAGGUCCAAGGAGCUUGCUCUGGAAGCCACCAAGAAAGCCGAUGAGCUCAAAACCGCCGCUCUCAAACAAGCCGAUCAAAUCCAAUUCCAAAGCCUCUCCAAGUCCAUUUCCGAUAUUAUCCCUCCUCAACUCUCCUCCCUCUCCAUUACCUCAUCCGCCUCCACUUCCUCCGAUCCUCCGUCAAUCUCGGAGUCGGAGCUCCGGAAAUUUGGACUCACUGAUGAUUUGAGAGACUUUGUUAGAGGUUUCACUUCUAGUACUUUCCAGAACUUCCCUUUCCCUGUCCAAGAUGAAAUUGAGCCGUCCGAUGGGACGACUACGGGCUCAAAUGUACGGAAGGAUCUGAGUGAAUGGCAAGAGAGGCAUGCCACGCUUGUUCUUACUACUGUUAAGGAAAUCAAGAAAUUAAGAUAUGAAUUAUGCCCACGUGUGAUGAAAGAAAGAAAAUUUUGGAGGAUAUAUUUCACUCUUGUUAGCACUCAUGUUGCUCCUUAUGAGAAGCAGUACAUGGAGGAAGUUAAACAGAAAGAGGAGGCAAAAGAGGAUAAAUCAAAGCAAACACCCACAGUUAAGAUAGAAGAGUCGGAAAGUGGUCUGAAAAGUAAAACUUCGGGUGCCUCUACUGAACAAGAUUUGGAUACUUUUUUGCUGGGAGAUUUUGAAGAUAGUGAUGGGGGUGGAGAUGAUGCUGAUGCUGAUGCUGAUGGGAGCUUUGGUGAUGAUUUUGACAAGAUUGAAAAUUCUGAUGUAGAAGAUGAGAAGAAGGAUGCAGCGGGAACUAAAGCUUAGAAUUCCAGCCAGAUGAAACAAAUUGGAGUAAAAGCUAGAACUUUGCUGCUAGGGGGAGGAAAAGAAUGCUGAAAGGAUAGCAGAAGCAGGUUCUGAUCCCUGUUUGCCAGGGAUUGAGGGGAGGCUAGAACACCAUUAUCUGCCUUGUACAGAGAAUCUCAUUCUGUUAAUCAAAUUGUUCUUGUUAAUGCUUCUGAAUCUUGAAUUUUGUUCAUGCCAUGUCUGGACUUAAGAAAACUCCACUCUCUUCUUGUGGUGGAACAGUGUGGGGAGUGAACGAAGCUAUCGAAACAGCGCAUGCAUUCUUCUGUAUAACCGGUGAUUUUCGGAACCUCCGAGGAAAUAUUCUGUAUAAGUAUCUCAGAGACUACUAGACAUCUUGUGUUCUUUGAGAGCCACAAGUGAUCUUCAUAGAAGGAACAUAUUAAGCCCAGCUUGAAGAUUUUAGCUAUGGAUUAGAAGUGGCUUGGAAUCUGGAUCUGGGGUUUUGACAUCUUUGCUGGGAAAAAUAUUAUUUUGGAACAACUUUCAUAUUACUUGCUCUAGGCUGUAGACAACAAACAAAUGCUGAAUUCAAACCUUUUCUUUGGGUUGAGGAAAAGAUCUGAAGCGUUUUAGCUUUCCUCAAGAUUCAUAGUUAGAACUUAGAACAAACUUACUAUUGCAAUUCACUAAAUAUAAGAUCAACAUACAAUUCACUGAAUUGAAGAGGAAAUUGCAAUUCUUAAGUGCAGAAAUAAUACCAGUAUAUACAGCAUAAAAAACAAAUUAAAGUAAAAA